rnacentral:rRNA from 1 species
AAUUUUAACUAUCCAGGGAUUCCAAAAUAAAUUAGUAGCUCUAGUAAAACCCGUUUUACUUUUGAAUUCUUAUGGGAUCACGUAUUUAAAUAAGGAUUUCAUUAUUAAAAAA